rnacentral:rRNA from 1 species
UGGGGAAUAUUGCACAAUGGGCGCAAGCCUGAUGCAGCCAUGCCGCGUGUAUGAAGAAGGCCUUCGGGUUGUAAAGUACUUUCAGCGGGGAGGAAGGGAGUAAAGUUAAUACCUUUGCUCAUUGACGUUACCCGCAGAAGAAGCACCGGCUAACUCCGUGCCAGCAGCCGCGGUAAUACGGAGGGUGCAAGCGUUAAUCGGAAUUACUGGGCGUAAAGCGCACGCAGGCGGUCUGUUAAGGCAGAUGUGAAAUCCCCGGGCUCAACCUGGGAACUGCAUCUGAAACUGGCAAGCUUGAGUCUCGUAGAGGGGGGUAGAAUUCCAGGUGUAGCGGUGAAAUGCGUAGAGAUCUGGAGGAAUACCGGUGGCGAAGGCGGCCCCCUGGACGAAGACUGACGCUCAGGUGCGAAAGCGUGGGGAGCAAACA